GCUAGUCGCGUGGCUCGCCAAUUACGAGUCACGGCAUACAGCUCAGUAACACGUGGCUAACCUGCCCUUAAGACGGAAAUACCCCCGGGAAACUGGGGCUAAUGUCCGAUAGGCGAAGAACUCUGGAAUGAGUCUUCACUUAAACGGCGCUAGAGUUAUGCUCUUUGGCGAUGCUUAAGGAUGGGGCCGCGACCGAUCAGGUUGUUGGUGAGGUAACGGCUCACCAAGCCUUUUACCGGUGCGGGCCGUGGGAGCGGGAGCCCGGAGAUGGGCACUGAGACAAGGGCCCAAGCCCUACGGGGCGCAGCAGUCGCGAAAACUUUGCAAUAAGCGAAAGCUUGACAGGGCUAUCCCGAGUGCCAUCCGCUGAGGAAGGCUUUUACCCAGUCUAGAACGCUGGGGGAAUAAGGAGAGGGCAAGUCUGGUGUCAGCCGCCGCGGUAAUACCAGCUCUCCGAGUGGUGUGGAUGUUUAUUGGGCCUAAAGCAUCCGUAGCUGGCUAGGUUAGUCCCCUGUUAAAUCCACCGAAUUAAUCGUUGGAUUGCGGGGGAUACUGCUUGGCUAGGGAACGAGAGAGGCAGACGGUAUUUCCGGGGUAGGGGUGAAAUCCUAUAAUCCCGGGAAGACCACCAGUGGCGAAGGCUGUCUGCUAGAACGCGUCCGACGGUGAGGGAUGAAAGCUGGGGGAGCGAACCGGAUUAGAUACCCGGGUAGUCCCAGCUGUAAACGAUGCAGGCUAGGUGUUUGGACGGCCACGUGCCGUUCUAGUGCCGCAGGGAAGCUGUUAAGCCUGCCGCCUGGGGAGUACGAUCGCAAGAUUGAAACUUAAAGGAAUUGGCGGGGGAGCACCACAAGGGGUGAAGCUUGCGGUUUAAUUGGAUUCAACGCCGGG
rnacentral:rRNA from 1 species